AUGGCUGGCCUCAACUCCCUGGAGGCGGUGAAACAAGAUCCAGGCCUCGUAGCAACAGGCGGACGAGGCAGAGGACUGCGGGCAGGGCCUGCAGCAGGAGCUGGACAGCGAGCAUGAGCAGCGCGAGAAAGCCGAAGGGGAUGUGGCAGCUCUCAAUCUACGCAUCCAGCUUGUUGAGGAGGCACUGGACAGGGCUCAGGAAUGACUGGCCACAACCCUGCAGAAGCUGCAGGAGGCAGAAAAGGCUGCCGAUGAGAGUGAGAGAGGAAUGAAGGUGAUAGAAAACCGGGCCAUGAAAGGUGAGAAGAUGGAGAUUCAGGAGAUGCAGCUCAAAGAGGCCAAGCUCACAGCUGAGGAGGCUGACCACAAAUAUGAGGAGGUGGCUCGUAAAUUGGUCAUCCUGGAGGGCGAGCUGGAGAGGGAGGAAGAGCGUGCUGAGGGGUCUGAACUAAAAUGUGAUGACCUGCAAGAGCUCAAGAAUGUCACUAACAAUCUGAAGUCACUCGAGACUGCAUCUAAAAAGUAUUCUGAAAAGGAGGAUAAAUAUGAAGAACAAAUCAAAGUUUUGUCUGACAAACUGAAAGAGGCUGAGACCUGUGCUGAAUUUGCAGACAGAACGGUUGCAAAACUGGAAAGGACAAUUGAUGACCUGAAAGAAAAACUUGCCCAGGCCAAAGAAGAGAAUGUGGGCUUACAUCAGACACUGGAUCAGACACUAAAUGAACUUAAAUGUAUAUAACCAAACAGAAGGGUCCUGUUCCAACAGAAACUCCAGAGCUCUGUAUCUUUCUCUUCUCUUUUAAGAAGUUUCUUUUGCUAUUGAAUCUUCACUGUGCUGGAAAUGUCAAGUAAAUUAUGAAUAUAUGACCAAAUAUUU